rnacentral:rRNA from 1 species
GACGGAGGAUGCAAGCGUUAUCCGGAAUGAUUGGGCGUAAAGCGUCCGCAGGUGGCAGCUCAAGUCUGCUGUCAAAGACCGGGGCUUAACUUCGGAAAGGCAGUGGAAACUGAACAGCUAGAGUAUGGUAGGGGCAGAGGGAAUUCCUGGUGUAGCGGUGAAAUGCGUAGAGAUCAGGAAGAACAUCGGUGGCGAAGGCGCUCUGCUGGACCAUAACUGACACUCAGGGACGAAAAGCUAGGGGAGCGAAUGGG